rnacentral:rRNA from 1 species
AACGAACGCUGGCGGCAGGCCUAACACAUGCAAGUCGAACGAAGUCUUCGGACUUAGUGGCGCACGGGUGAGUAACACGUGGGAAUAUACCUUACGCCGGGGGAUAACAUCGGGAAACUGAUGCUAAUACCGCAUACGCCCUUCGGGGGAAAGAUUUAUCGGCGAAAGAUUAGCCCGCGUCCGAUUAGCUAGUUGGUGAGGUAAUGGCUCACCAAGGCUCCGAUCGGUAGCUGGUCUGAGAGGAUGACCAGCCACACUGGGACUGAGACACGGCCCAGACUCCUACGGGAGGCAGCAGUGGGGAAUAUUGGACAAUGGGCGCAAGCCUGAUCCAGCCAUGCCGCGUGAGUGAUGAAGGCCUUAGGGUUGUAAAGCUCUUUCACCCACGACGAUGAUGACGGUAGUGGGAGAAGAAGCCCCGGCUAACUUCGUG